AAGUGAGGAAAGCAUAAGUAGUGGGACAAGUGCUGCCAGGUCAGUAGAAGAGGUGGAAGAAGAAAACGAUCAAGAAAUGGAGUCCUUCAUAACUGAAGAGGUGCUGGGGCAGCAGAAAAAAUCUCCACUGCAUGCUGAGAUGGAUGAGUCCAAAGAAGGCUCUAUUCAGGGACUGGAAGAAAUGCAGGUUGAAAGAGAGGGCUCCUUAAACCCAUCCCUGAAUGAGGAGAAUGUGAAGAGUCAAGGAGAAAAGAAGGAGGAGUCAGAGGAGGAAGAUGAGAAGGAGGAAGAGGAGGAGGAGGAGAAGCUGGAGGAAGAGAAGGAGGAGAAGGAGGCACAGGAAGAGCAAGAGAGUUUAUCUGUGGGUGAGGAAGAAGACAAGGAAGAGGGUCUAGAGGAGAUAUACUAUGAGGACAUGGAGUCCUUCACAAUCUCCAGUGGAAACACUUAUUUUGUCUUUGUACCCCUGGAAGAAGAAGAGCAUUGCAGGAAGUCCCAUUCCACCUUCUCAGCCAUGUUCAUCAAUGACACUUCCAGUGCCAAGUUCAUAGAACAAGUGACAAUUCCAUCGAGACUAAUUUUAGAAAUUAAAAAACAGCUGGUCACUCUCAGCAACACACUGCACCAGGAGUUGCUUAGCUAUGUUGAUGUCACCCAGGUGUCCCUGCGCAGCUUCCGGCAGUACUUGGAGG
rnacentral:sRNA from 1 species